rnacentral:rRNA from 1 species
AGCACGCCGCGUGAGGGAUGACGGCCUUCGGGUUGUAAACCUCUUUUAGCAGGGAAGAAGCGAGAGUGACGGUACCUGCAGAAAAAGCACCGGCUAACUACGUGCCAGCAGCCGCGGUAAUACGUAGGGUGCAAGCGUUAUCCGGAAUUAUUGGGCGUAAAGAGCUCGUAGGCGGUUUGUCGCGUCUGCCGUGAAAUCCUCAGGCUCAACCUGAGGCUUGCGGUGGGUACGGGCAGACUUGAGUGCGGUAGGGGAGAUUGGAAUUCCUGGUGUAGCGGUGGAAUGCGCAGAUAUCAGGAGGAACACCGAUGGCGAAGGCAGAUCUCUGGGCCGUAACUGACGCUGAGGAGCGAAAGGGUGGGGAGCAAACA